rnacentral:rRNA from 1 species
CCGAGUUUACAACUCCCAAACCCAAUGUGAACGUUACCAAACUGUUGCCUCGGCGGGAUCUCUGCCCCGGGUGCGUCGCAGCCCCGGACCAAGGCGCCCGCCGGAGGACCAACCAAAACUCUUAUUGUAUACCCCCUCGCGGGUUUUUUACUAUCUGAGCCAUCUCGGCGCCCCUCGUGGGCGUUUCGAAAAUGAAUCAAAACUUUCAACAACGGAUCUCUUGGUUCUGGCAUCGAUGAAGAACGCAGCGAAAUGCGAUAAGUAAUGUGAAUUGCAGAAUUCAGUGAAUCAUCGAAUCUUUGAACGCACAUUGCGCCCGCCAGUAUUCUGGCGGGCAUGCCUGUCCGAGCGUCAUUUCAACCCUCGAACCCCUCCGGGGGGUCGGCGUUGGGGAUCGGCCCUUUACGGGGCCGGCCCCGAAAUACAGUGGCGGUCUCGCCGCAGCCUCUCCUGCGCAGUAGUUUGCACACUCGCAUCGGGAGCGCGGCGCGUCCACAGCCGUUAAACACCCCAAACUUCUGAAAUGUUGACCUCGGAUCAGGUAGGAAUACCCGCUGAACUUAAGCAUACA